AGGUUGCUGGAGGUACAAGAUGUCAUCUGAGUGAUCCGGAAUUGUCCUGAGGGGCCUUGAAUGAGUGUGGUGUUCGAUAUGUAAUUGUAGGUGAUACAGUGAGCUCUGUUUUGUAAUAAUGGGGAUGUCAGAACCCCCCUCCUCCCCUUAAUGAAAGUGAGCCAUUGGUGCUGCUACAAGGGUGAAGAAGGCGGAGGGAGAGAUGUGAAAAUGAAUCCUGUUAAAUGGAAGGGGUGAGAUUAGGGUUUGACAUACUUCCAUACCUUUGUUUUAAACUAAAUCUCAGUGGUUUUGGUCAAACUCUGAUUAAGGCAGAGAAGAAGCAUGGCUUGUACAGUUAGUUUAUUGAGAAAGCUUGGGAUGGACUGUUUUGGAGAACAGUGGUGAACAAACUGGAAUCUUCCCAUAUUGAAGCAGAAUCUGUGUGGAUUUGUUUCUUUUCUGCAAUGUGGUGGGAUUGAAGAGUGAGUAUAACCGAAGCAGCCACUGAAAGCAGCUCUGUCUGAGAGUGGCUCUGUUUCUGGUGUAAGCAAGCUCCAAAUGCAAGGAUGUAAUGUACAAGUAGGAAGCAUGAUAUUUCUACUUAGGUACUUGGAAGUGGGCAAGACUAGAGUUUGACCUCCCCCUAAACUUUGGUUCCAUCUAAUAAUCCAUCUUCACAAAAUUUGAGGCCCAAAACCACUAAAGUGAACAAUGCAGCUGAGAAAUUGGCACAAUUCAUAAAGAUAGAGUUAAACAUUAACCUGGAAACUCAUCAAACCAUUUGUGGUUCAGCAUUACUUUUUAAAUUAUUCUCCCAAUGCACAGGAGAACUGGAGUCCACUGAGGCACAGUGAGAAAACAAUAAUGCAGCGCACACAAUAUGCAUCCCCUUGGAUCCUUCUUCUAAAGGUUGCUGUGACUAAUAGCACUGUACCCAAUGGCAUUUUACAAUGCAUUACUAUUGAGGUAUUUGUCAUUGAUAUGAAUGACAAUGUUUCUGAGUUCAGUGAGGAAAGCAUGACUGGUAUUGUCCAGACUGGACUGAUAGCAGGGGUCCCAUUUAUGCAAGUGAAAGCUACUGAUCUUGAUGACCCCACUACUGCAAAUGCCGAGCUUCACUAUAGCCUGAUCGAUCAAAGUCGUAGCGCACCGUCCAGUAGCAUGUUCAGUAUUGAUGCCCAGACUGGUAGUGUGUCGCUGACUGCAGAAGGGGCAUCCAGCUUGGAUCCAGAAGUAUGCCACCAGUACAACAUGACAGCAAAUGUGAAGAUAUUAAUGGGAAGCCCACUGCUUAUUUUUCAACUGAUAUUGUGAUGAUAGAUGUCAUUACGAACACAUGGACCUCGCUGGAGCCUGUUCAUCUGCAGGAAAACCUGCCUGCCCCCUAGCCAAAGCAAAUCUCCCAGAGCUGAACUGGCAGCUGUCAAGAGGGAAGAGAAGCCGAGAGAAUGACUCAGCUGCUAGCUAAGUGGCAGCUUUGCAGAUGAACUCGCACCAGUUCUGCAGAUGGCCUUUUAAACCCUCCAUUUCUUUCUUCUUGUGCAUGGAGAGCCUACAAUCGUGAUAUUAAAAUUAGAAAGAGAUGAUGCUAUGCAGAGAUCGUGGUCUCCCGAAGUACAGCUCUUAAUAAAGAAACUUUUGGAGCAGAAAUGUUUUGCCAAUCUGCCUGCAACACCUGAUAGCCACACACCUACAGAAGGCUCCACAACCAAAACACUGCGUUUUUCCAUUGAGUAGAAUUAACCUCUGCUUGGUCUUUAACAUUUCUUUUCUUCAGUUUAAAGCAAGCUUCUCGAAAGACUCCCACUGGAAAUGCACAUAACAUAAAUGUAGACAUCAACCCUUUACAUUAAAUAUCACCGUAACAAAAUGGGGCUAUGAUAUGUUUUGUUAAUUACAUGGUUCAAAUCCAGAUUUGAGGAUAAUAUCCUCAAAAAAUCCCUCUUUUAAAAAUAAGUUCUCUUUACUUCCUAGUACCUGUUCUGUCUUGUUUAUUGUUUGAGCUGAGGCUCUCUCUUCCUGUUAAUGCCAAACUAACUGCAAACUAGUUUAUUGAUAACAGACUAUUAUGAUUUAUUUUAACAUUAUGGUAAAUGUUUUUCCAAGGGGU